AAUGGCCGGGACAAAGGGUCGCAAUCCUGCGAGGGUGAGCUAGCCCCAAAAACCCGUCCUUAGUUCAGAUUGCAGGCUGCAACUCGCCUGCACUUCA
rfam:Capsicum annuum cultivar Zunla-1 chromosome 7, whole genome shotgun sequence